UACGAAGGGGGCUAGCGUUGCUCGGAAUUACUGGGCGUAAAGGGUGUGUAGGCGGUUGUUUAAGUCAGGGGUGAAAUCCUGGAGCUCAACUCCAGAACUGCCUUUGAUACUGAAGAUCUUGAGUUCGGGAGAGGUGAGUGGAACUGCGAGUGUAGAGGUGAAAUUCGUAGAUAUUCGCAAGAACACCAGUGGCGAAGGCGGCUCACUGGCCCGAUACUGACGCUGAGGCACGAAAGCGUGGGGAGCAAACAGG
rnacentral:rRNA from 1 species